AGAUUUGAGGAAGUUAACACCCCCAGAAUGAGCUGAUGAUGUUUAAAGAAAGAGCUGUAAAUAUAGAAUGAAAGAAAGACUGACAGAAACAAAAAAGGACUGAUAAGUGUCACAUGUGUCUGCUGGGACUGAUCAUUCUCACAGGAAAACUUAUACUGGAACAACAGUCUGGGCUAUGAGAUGAGAACAGAGACACAUUGAGCUUUAACCACUAUCCAUCAACCACCUGCUGACUGACGAGAAAACAUCAUUAGCUUGUGAGGGACAAAGACAAACUGAACCACGGUGAUCUGAACUGAAGACAGAGACUGUAACACAUUUCAGUUUCAUUCAGCAACAUGAACGGUGAAAAUCAGAACUUGAAGGGUAAAUACGGUGAUCAUCCUACUGAUUAUGUCCCUAAUAAAACUCGAUAUGAUUCUUCAGAAAUCAGAAUCAGUAUCUUCUUCAUCGCUAGUGUUUGUGUGGGUCUUCCAGCUCUGGUUUGGGCUUUUCGUCUUCUGCACCUUCACAGAAAGAUCAGAGGCCGAAUCUCAGUCUUCAUCCUCCUCCUCCUCCUCAAUGACCUGAUACAAUUGCCCCUUUAUCUAUAUAUAGUGACAGAUAUACUGGCAAAAUACAGAUACUUUAUCCAUGUGCUUUACCAGUUUUGGUUGGGAUUACAUUGGUGUGGUUUUCAUCUGCAUCAGCUGGUGGCUCUGGAGGGGGUUUUGACUCUGAAAUAUCCGCUUUGUUCUGCUCGUAUUUUCUCACUGCCCUGUUACAUCAUAAUCUCCAUCCUUGUGCUUUUUUUUUCUAUAGUGAGUGCAUUAUU